rnacentral:ribozyme from 15 species
ACAAAACGUAGAAAGAAAAAAGAAAAAAAAACGAUGCGAGUAAAAGUCGCACUAGGGUAUGAUGACGUCAUCAUCUAGGGAUAGGACCCUCUUUAUUAUUAUUAUAUCUUAUUAU